rnacentral:rRNA from 1 species
AUUGAACGCUGGCGGCAGGCCUAACACAUGCAAGUCGAACGAGUGGCGGACGGGUGAGUAAUGUCUGGGAAACUGCCCGAUGGAGGGGGAUAACUACUGGAAACGGUCGCUAAUACCGCGUACCAUCGGAUGUGCCCAGAUGGGAUUAGCGUGGAGGUGAGGUAACGGCUCACCUAGGCGACGAUCCCUAGCUGGUCUGAGAGGGUGACCAGCGACACUGGAACUGUGACACGGGCCAGACUCCUGCGGUAGGCAGCAUGGGGGAUAAGUGCACAAUGGGCGCAAGCCUGAUGCAGCCAGUCCGCGUGUAUGAAUAAGGCCUUCUGGUUGUAAAGUCAUUUAAGCGGGGAGGCGUUACCCGCAGAAGAAGCACCGGCUAACUCCGUGUCAGCAGCCGCGGUAAUUC